rnacentral:misc_RNA from 1 species
GAUGAAGAACGCAGCAAAAUGCGAUAAGUAGUGUGAAUUGCAGAAUUCAGUGAAUCAUCGAAUCUUUGAACGCAUCUUGCGCUCCUUGGUAUUCCGAGGAGCAUGCCUGUUUGAGUGUCAUUAAAGUUCUCAACCACAUUACUACAUAUGUGGCUUGGAUGUGGGGGUUUGCAGGCUUUCUCUGAGGGUCUGCUCCUCUGAAAUGCAUUAGUGGUAUUCCUGAGCUUUACUACAGAUGUGAUAAUUUAUCUACAUCCCAAAAGUAUGCUUCAGCAACACCGCUCCUAACAAGCGAAAGCACAUUUUGAUGAAUUUGACCUCAAAUCAGGUAGGACUACCCGCUGAACUUAAGCAUAUCAAUAAGCGGAGGA